UACGUGGGGUGCAAGCGUUGUCCGGAAUUAUUGGGCGUAAAGAGUGCGCAGGCGGUUUUGAAAGUCAUCAUUGAAAUCUUGGGGCUCAACCCCAAGCCUGGUGGUGAUACUUCAAGACUAGGUUACUUGAGGGGGUACCAGAACAGUUGGUGGAGCAGUGAAAUGCGUUGAGAUCAACUGGAAUACCAAAGGCGAAGGCAGGUACCUGGCAAGUUAACGACGCUGUUGCACGAAAGCGUGGGGAGCAAAACGG
rnacentral:rRNA from 1 species